UUAAGUUAUUAAGGGCGCACGGUGGAUGCCUUGGCACUAGAAGCCGAUGAAGGACGUUACUAACGACGAUAUGCUUUGGGGAGCUGUAAGUAAGCUUUGAUCCAGAGAUUUCCGAAUGGGGAAACCCAGCAUGAGUUAUGUCAUGUUAUCGAUAUGUGAAUACAUAGCAUAUCAGAAGGCACACCCGGAGAACUGAAACAUCUUAGUACCCGGAGGAAGAGAAAGAAAAUUCGAUUCCCUUAGUAGCGGCGAGCGAAACGGGAAGAGCCCAAACCAACAAGCUUGCUUGUUGGGGUUGUAGGACACUCUAUACGGAGUUACAAAGGACGACAUUAGACGAAUCAUCUGGAAAGAUGAAUCAAAGAAGGUAAUAAUCCUGUAGUCGAAAAUGUUGUCUCUCUUGAGUGGAUCCUGAGUACGACGGAGCACGUGAAAUUCCGUCGGAAUCUGGGAGGACCAUCUCCUAAGGCUAAAUACUCUCUAGUGACCGAUAGUGAACCAGUACCGUGAGGGAAAGGUGAAAAGCACCCCGGAAGGGGAGUGAAAUAGAACCUGAAACCGUGUGCUUACAAGUAGUCAGAGCCCGUUAAUGGGUGAUGGCGUGCCUUUUGUAGAAUGAACCGGCGAGUUACGAUUUGAUGCAAGGUUAAGCAGUAAAUGUGGAGCCGUAGCGAAAGCGAGUCUGAAUAGGGCGUUUAGUAUUUGGUCGUAGACCCGAAACCAGGUGAUCUACCCUUGGUCAGGUUGAAGUUCAGGUAACACUGAAUGGAGGACCGAACCGACUUACGUUGAAAAGUGAGCGGAUGAACUGAGGGUAGCGGAGAAAUUCCAAUCGAACCUGGAGAUAGCUGGUUCUCUCCGAAAUAGCUUUAGGGCUAGCCUCAAGUGAUGAUUAUUGGAGGUAGAGCACUGUUUGGACGAGGGGCCCCUCUCGGGUUACCGAAUUCAGACAAACUCCGAAUGCCAAUUAAUUUAACUUGGGAGUCAGAACAUGGGUGAUAAGGUCCGUGUUCGAAAGGGAAACAGCCCAGAUCACCAGCUAAGGUCCCAAAAUAUAUGUUAAGUGGAAAAGGAUGUGGCGUUGCCCAGACAACUAGGAUGUUGGCUUAGAAGCAGCCAUCAUUUAAAGAGUGCGUAAUAGCUCACUAGUCGAGUGACACUGCGCCGAAAAUGUACCGGGGCUAAACAUAUUACCGAAGCUGUGGAUUGUCCUUUGGACAAUGGUAGGAGAGCGUUCUAAGGGCGUUGAAGCAUGAUCGUAAGGACAUGUGGAGCGCUUAGAAGUGAGAAUGCCGGUGUGAGUAGCGAAAGACGGGUGAGAAUCCCGUCCACCGAUUGACUAAGGUUUCCAGAGGAAGGCUCGUCCGCUCUGGGUUAGUCGGGUCCUAAGCUGAGGCCGACAGGCGUAGGCGAUGGAUAACAGGUUGAUAUUCCUGUACCACCUAUAAUCGUUUUAAUCGAUGGGGGGACGCAGUAGGAUAGGCGAAGCGUGCGAUUGGAUUGCACGUCUAAGCAGUAAGGCUGAGUAUUAGGCAAAUCCGGUACUCGUUAAGGCUGAGCUGUGAUGGGGAGAAGACAUUGAGUCUUCGAGUCGUUGAUUUCACACUGCCGAGAAAAGCCUCUAGAUAGAAAAUAGGUGCCCGUACCGCAAACCGACACAGGUAGUCAAGAUGAGAAUUCUAAGGUGAGCGAGCGAACUCUCGUUAAGGAACUCGGCAAAAUGACCCCGUAACUUCGGGAGAAGGGGUGCUCUUUAGGGUUAACGCCCAGAAGAGCCGCAGUGAAUAGGCCCAAGCGACUGUUUAUCAAAAACACAGGUCUCUGCUAAACCGUAAGGUGAUGUAUAGGGGCUGACGCCUGCCCGGUGCUGGAAGGUUAAGAGGAGUGGUUAGCUUCUGCGAAGCUACGAAUCGAAGCCCCAGUAAACGGCGGCCGUAACUAUAACGGUCCUAAGGUAGCGAAAUUCCUUGUCGGGUAAGUUCCGACCCGCACGAAAGGCGUAACGAUUUGGGCACUGUCUCAACGAGAGACUCGGUGAAAUCAUAGUACCUGUGAAGAUGCAGGUUACCCGCGACAGGACGGAAAGACCCCGUGGAGCUUUACUGUAGCCUGAUAUUGAAAUUCGGCACAGCUUGUACAGGAUAGGUAGGAGCCUUUGAAACGUGAGCGCUAGCUUACGUGGAGGCGCUGGUGGGAUACUACCCUAGCUGUGUUGGCUUUCUAACCCGCACCACUUAUCGUGGUGGGAGACAGUGUCAGGCGGGCAGUUUGACUGGGGCGGUCGCCUCCUAAAAGGUAACGGAGGCGCUCAAAGGUUCCCUCAGAAUGGUUGGAAAUCAUUCAUAGAGUGUAAAGGCAUAAGGGAGCUUGACUGCGAGACCUACAAGUCGAGCAGGGUCGAAAGACGGACUUAGUGAUCCGGUGGUUCCGCAUGGAAGGGCCAUCGCUCAACGGAUAAAAGCUACCCCGGGGAUAACAGGCUUAUCUCCCCCAAGAGUUCACAUCGACGGGGAGGUUUGGCACCUCGAUGUCGGCUCAUCGCAUCCUGGGGCUGUAGUCGGUCCCAAGGGUUGGGCUGUUCGCCCAUUAAAGCGGUACGCGAGCUGGGUUCAGAACGUCGUGAGACAGUUCGGUCCCUAUCCGUCGUGGGCGUAGGAAAUUUGAGAGGAGCUGUCCUUAGUACGAGAGGACCGGGAUGGACAUACCUCUGGUGUACCAGUUGUCGUGCCAACGGCAUAGCUGGGUAGCUAUGUGUGGACGGGAUAAGUGCUGAAAGCAUCUAAGCAUGAAGCCCCCCUCAAGAUGAGAUUUCCCAACUUCGGUUAUAAGAUCCCUCAAAGAUGAUGAGGUUAAUAGGUUCGAGGUGGAAGCAUGGUGACAUGUGGAGCUGACGAAUACUAAUCGAUCGAAGACUUAAUCAA
rnacentral:rRNA from 1 species